rnacentral:rRNA from 1 species
CAAUAGCGUAUAUUAAAGUUGUCGCGGUAAAAAAGCUCGUAGUUGGAUUUCUACCGAAGAUAGCCGGUCGGGUCUUCGACCUUGUAUCUGGUUUUGUCUUUGGUAUCCUCAUAGGGAACGUUUCUGCGCUUUAUUGCGUGGUGCGGUAUCUAUGACUUUUACUUUGAGGAAAUUAGAGUGUUCACGGCAGGCAAACGCCUUGAAUAUAUUAGCAUGGAAUAAUAACAUAGGAUCUUCGUCCUAUUUUGUUGGUUUCUAGGGCUAAGAUAAUGAUUAAUAGGGAUAAUUGGGGGCAUCUGUAUCAACGCGUCAGAGGUGGAAUUCUUGGAUUGCGUUGCGACAAACUACUGCGAAAGCAUUUGCCAAGGAUGUUUUCAUUGA